AUUUGUCCAUCUUCCAUCUUCCAUCAACCCCAUAACUGUAGCAGAGCCAUCCUUUGAACAAUAUCCAAGUGGCACUCAAGGUCACCCCAAACUUUCUCGGUCAUUCAUACACAAAUUUGGUCACCACCACCAUUUCUGUUACCCACACUAUAUUCCCUUCAACCCCCUCAGGUGCCGAGGUAAUGUUUGGCUCAAAGCUUGAAGAGAUCGAAGAGGGAUUAUCUUUCUGGUUGAGGGUCCUAACUAAUCGGCUUUGAGAUUCUGCUAAUGUCGAUGUUGAAACGCUGUCAGUUUCGGAGCAGAACGUGCCAGAAUCGACUGGGAGGAAGGAUGUAGGGAAGGAAAAAGAAGAAGAAGACUCGGUUGAUCCGAGAGUAUCAUUGUUUUUUCAGCCAAGCGAGAAGAUAACAGUCGUUCAUUGCAGUAUCGUAUGUGUAGACUACGUCAUUUCCCCAGGGAUUAAACAAUGCCACCCUAAACCGCCAAACGUCAAUAGAACGUAUAUUGACGAUGAAAGAGGUAGAUGCACUUACAUCUUCGUCCCAUUCACUGCGAUUGAUGUGUUCAGAACUGCAUAAGCAUGGCCCCCUACAAGUUCUACCGCCCCAGUAGGGAAGGUCUGGAGUACCACCGGGGUCUUGGUCCCCUUGCUCAGCACUUCCCAAGCUUCAUCUCCCAAAUCUCCCUUGAACUCCCACGCCGCCUCUUUCCCCGUCAAGAUCCGCAACGCAUUGGGCACUCCUGCAGGAUUAAGGGAACCAUUUGUUGACGGAAGGAUACCAGAGUACACGGCAGCCGAAUCAUAUGCACCUGGCCACCAUGCAAUAGAGGUAUCUUCGUUAUCGUUGUUGAUCAGCUGGGAAUGGUAAGUCACAGGGACUGAUUGGGCAGUAAGGGAAGUGUCAUCGGCGAAGAUGGUGACUGUGACGUCUGUAACGUUCAGAUCGGAUGGGCUAGAGUAAGAGAAUUUAGAUUUGAUGAAAGAAGGUGAAAUCGUGGUGAUUGCUGCCAUAGAUGAGAGCCAGCCACAAUCUCCUUCAUCUGUUUAGAAGAUUGUCAGCAAGAUGACCCAUUUGAGUAUUGAUGAUGAAGCGUAUGAUGGAGGCUCACGUUGUCCAAUAUCAUCCCUACUCGGCAUCCCGCUCGCCCCAAAAAGAGGCGCACCGUCACGCUUCGAGAUGGGUCGAGGCGGGGACAGUCAUUCAAAUAGAAAAAGUGUGGAGAACGUACCAACAGAGAAUAGAAGGGUGAUAAAGAACGUAUUGAUCAUCUCGACAAGGUGUGCUAUAUGGCCAGGAUGUCCCUCGUCCGCCAGGUAGAUUUUGAUAGGGUAUGACUGAAGGAGAUUUAAUUCUUGAGUUGAAAAACAUAGGCUGCCCAAAAGAUUGUUGAGGGAUGAUUCAUAUACCAGCUCCCA
rnacentral:sRNA from 1 species